UUUUAAGUAAUUAUUUAUACAUUAAGUAUAAACGAGAUAUAAAAUCUCCUUAAAA
rnacentral:tRNA from 1 species